AUCAUUGCUAUCUAGGGCUAGUGUUGCUGGAGCAUAUGUUUACUCCAACAUUCUUUCCAUUUGUAGAGAGAUGAUAGAAUCUGGGUUGAUCGUAGAUAUGGGGACAGCAGUUCACUGGUCCAAGUCUUUACGCAAGAUUGAGAGAACCGGUGGAGAGCUUACAGAAGCCUUACAGAAAAGCUUCCCUCCCGAUUGGAAUACACGCCACUGUGUUGAUGCCGAUCCUGAGCCAUAUAGCGAUGAUGACGUCGACAUUGAUGAUGAGAAUAAUUUGUAUUUCGAGAAAACUGAUGAUGGUGAUGAAGACAGCAAUGAUGAACAUGAUUACUUUAACCAAAGACUGUUGGUUUAAUGUAGGUUGGGUUUAUUAUGUGCUCCUGCUUGGCUUUGGAGCUGUUAUUCAAAUUGAGUUUAACGAACUUCUGAUUUUCCCAAUGAUACCCACCAUUUAUGAAAAAUGUUAGCUGUUAACAUUUGUAAUAUUCAAUGUGAAAUUUUG
rnacentral:misc_RNA from 1 species